GACGAACCGUGCAAACGUUAUUCGGAAUCACUGGGCUUAAAGCGCGUGUAGGCGGGACGGCACGUCGGGCGUUGAAAUCCCCCGGCUCAACCGGGGAAGGGGCGCCGAUACGACCGUCCUGGAGGGGCGUAGGGGGACCUGGAACUUCCGGUGGAGCGGUGAAAUGCGUUGAGAUCGGAAGGAACGCCCGUGGCGAAAGCGAGGUCCUGGACGUUUUCUGACGCUGAGACGCGAAAGCCAGGGGAGCAAACGGG
rnacentral:rRNA from 1 species